UCUAAAGGGCUCAAUUAAACUAGGAUUAAAAUUCCAAAGGUGUAAUAAAGGCAUUAUCCUGAAAGGAUAUACAGAUUUUGACUUUGCAGGAGAUUUAGAUAAAAGAAGAUCAACCUCCUCCUAUGUGUUUACUCUUUGUGAUGGUUGUGUUAGUUGGAAGUCCCAACUACAAAAACUUGUAGCUCUAUCUUCCACUGAAGCUGAGUAUAUUGUAGCAUGUGAUGCUGUUAAAGAAGGUUUGUGGUUAAGGGGGUUAUUAAAUGAAAUUGGUUUCAUGAAUGAAACGGUUAGAAUCUGUACUAAUAAUCAGAGUGCAAUUCAUUUGAGUAAAAAUCUUGUAUAUCAUGAUAGGAUUAAGCAUGUUGAUAUUAAAUUUCAUUUUGUUAGAAAUAUGGUUGAAAAGGGAUUAAUUAACUUGGUUAAGAUCCCAAUUGAAUUUAAUCCUUCUGAUAUUGGUACGAAGGUUUUACCUCUAAACAAGUUCAGAAAUUGUCUGAAAAUUCUGAACAUACUUUGAAGGUAAUAAAUUCAAUUUGAUAUUUGAAUUUUACUUGUUGUUUUUUGAAAAUCAACUGACUAUUUUUCAUUUUCUUCUUACAGAUUUUAUAGAGCAAAUGAAACAAAAAUUAGACCAAGUUUGAAUCCACGAAAGAAUACCAAGAGUAGAUCAGCAAGGUGAAGAUUGUUGGUGGGUUGCCUCUCUAUCCUUGGCUGGUCCAAUCUUAGUAAUAUUGGGCCUUGACGGGUUGGUUGAUCCAACGGGUUGAAAUUGGUUUGGAAAUGAAAAGUGUUUUUUUGGAAACGCGUUUUUCCUUUAUAAUGGCCAACUGUUGCGGACCUUACACUUGUCAUCUUUGUGAUCGUUGGAUCUUCGAUUUUUUACUGGUCUGUUAAAAGUCUCGUGACCCUUCACUUUCGCCCUAAUCUGAGUGAACGGUUCUAGGGUUUUCUUCGUCUUCUCUCUGAGGGUUUCUGGACUCUUCUGUUCUUGCGAUUUUCUGAAAGCAAUCUCUAAUCUGAGUGAUGUUAGGGUUGUAUUUGGUAUAUGAUCUGUGAGAUUGUAGAAAAGUGAGUGUUGUAUUAAAGAGAGGCGAAAGAAAACUGAAAUUGAAGGAACUGUCGUUUCUUCAUAUAUUCUUGUAUCGAUUCUUUGUAAUUCUUAAUGGAUUCGAGCCUAAUCUACUUUUGUAGAUGUUUAAUGGGUG
rnacentral:lncRNA from 1 species